rnacentral:misc_RNA from 1 species
GGAAGUUGAAGAAAACAGGCCACCCUCUAAAAAGGUUGAAGUAUUAGUUGAGACCAAGAAAGAGGCGAGUAAACCACAAGGGGAAUUGUUUGAAGUGGCAGAAGUGUCAGCAAAAGGGAGGGGUAAGUGGUGUUUUCGAUGCAGGACAAAGGGCCAUGUGUCAGUAGAAUGCACUACAAUCUUGUUUUGCCAAUUGUGUGAAAGUGAUGACCAUGUCGCUGCUAUAUGCCCAAUAAAGAAAAAACCUCGUCCGAUGGCUUACUCGGUGGGUUAUGCGAUGGAUGGUUUGGGCUUCUACCAUAUCCCACAUGGCCCUAUUUCCAUGUCAAAAAAGGAUAAUACUUUGGCUUUGAUCACAGUUAUGGGAGGCGAGCUUAAGGAAGCUGAACUUGUUGCUCAUAUGGAGAGGUUAAUUCCAGGAAAACACGGUUGGGAUGUUCAGUUGCAUGCCCCAAAUACUUGGGUGGCUAAUUUCCCAUCUAAAGCUGAAUUGAAGCAAACUGUAACAUUUGGGUCUGCUGAUCUUAAGAAUGGAUUACUUCUGAAAUUCGAAGAGUUUGAGGAGGAAGAGUAUUGUGGAGAAGAGCUACCAAGGGUGUGGAUGCGUGUAUUAAACCUCCCAAAAGGGUUAAGAACAUAUGAGGUUCUAUGGGCGAUUGGGACGAUGUUUGGUGCCACAACUAAGGUGGAUAUGAUUACUACAAGGAAAAAUACCUUUGGAAGAUUUGAGGUUGCAGUUCUCAAUGCUAGCAUUGUGCCCAAUCAAAUGGAGGUUGUUAUUGGAACUCGUUGGUUUGAGUUGGUUUUUGAGAUAGAAGGAGAAAUUGGUGAAGCUAUGGAACCAAUUACUCAUAGGGAGAAUGGUAAUGAGGGGGAUCAUGGGAAUGCCGAUAGAAGGGACACCACUAUGGAGGAGAAUAACUCCAAAGCAAAAGACACAAAUGGCAAUUCUUGGGCUGCACCUUCCUUUGCUAGCAACAGAAGGGACGUAGGAAAGGGUGUCCAGAUGGACGAUGGUGCUCUGGAUGAUUUUGAUGAGGAUGACCUGCUCGAGGAUGAGGUGAUGGAACAAUCUCCUGCUGUUUCACCAAAAUAUGCAGUCCUUAGUGCUGUUCUUGAUGCAGGCUUAGGUGAGCAGGCCAAACAGCCAUCUGGACAGCAUGACUGUGAGAUGCAGGAGGGCUGUAAUUCAAAGCCUGGGUUGGUGGAGCAUAGCAAAGUGCCUAGGGACGAUUGCAGCAAAAUGAAAGAAGCUACUGCGACUUUGGGACACCAAUUGAAGUGUGAUGGUCAGCAGUCUGACGCCAGCUUUAGCUCUGAAGUUGCUCUUCCAGUGAUACCCAAGCCGGUAAAAGUCCUCAAUAAAAUUUCUGCAGCCUUGCCAAAAAGGAGAAGCAAGAGGCGGGAAGUAGAAGUAGAUGAGGACAUGCUGGAACGUGCGAAAAGAGUGGUGGCGAAGAAAAAUCUUGAUGGACCGGAAGGUCACUUAGAGGGACACAUUGGACAAGGUUCUGGACACUGUUGCAGAAGGAGGAGGACAGACCUCAAGUAAAAUGGGCGUCGUGUGCUUGAAACAACAAUGAUGGAGAUCUUUUCAAAUAAUGGAUGGUCUUUUUUUCAUAGAUUGAGAGCAUAGUUUGAGAGCUUAAAUUUAUGAAACCUUUGUAGAAUGUAAGAUUUCGUUCCAAUGUGGAACCCCAUGUUUGUGAGUUUGACAGCCGAAUGUAU